rnacentral:rRNA from 1 species
GCGGCGUACGGGUGCGGAACACGUGUGCACCUGCCUUUAUCUGGGGGAUAGCCUUUCGAAAGGAAGAUUAAUACCCCAUAAUAUGUUGAGUGGCAUCAUUCGACAUUGAAAACUCCGGUGGAUAGAGAUGGGCACGCGCAAGAUUAGAUAGUUGGUGAGGUAACGGCUCACCAAGUCUACGAUCUUUAGGGGGGCCUGAGAGGGUGGUCCCCCAACUGGUACUGAGACACGGACCAACUCCUACGGGAGGCAGCAGUGAGGAAUAUUGGACAAUGGGUGAGAGCCUGAUCCAGCCAUCCCGCGUGAAGGACGAUUGCCCUAUGGGUUGUAAACUUCUUUGUAUAGGGAUAAACCUACCCUCGUGAGGGUAGCUGAAGGUACUAUACGCAUAAGCACCGGNUAACUCCGUGCCAGCAGCCGCGGUAAUACGGAGGGUGCAAGCGUUAUCCGGAUUUAUUGGGUUUAAAGGGUCCGUAGGCGGAUCUGUAAGUCAGUGGUGAAAUCUCACAGCUUAACUGUGAAACUGCCAUUGAUACUGCAGGUCUUGAGUGUGUGAAGUAGCUGGAAUAAGUAGUGUAACCGGUGAAAUGCCUAGGAUAU